rnacentral:rRNA from 1 species
UACGGGAGGCAGCAGUGGGGAAUAUUGCACAAUGGGCGCAAGCCUGAUGCAGCCAUGCCGCGUGUAUGAAAAAGGCCUUCGGGUUGUAAAGUACUUUCAGUCGUGAGGAAGGUGUUAAGGUUAAUAACCUUAGCAAUUGACGUUAGCGACAGAAGAAGCACCGGCUAACUCCGUGCCAGCAGCCGCGGUAAUACGGAGGGUGCGAGCGUUAAUCGGAAUUACUGGGCGUAAAGGGCACGCAGGCGGUUAAUUAAGUUGGAUGUGAAAUCCCCGGGCUUAACCUGGGAAUGGCAUUCAAGACUGGUUAGCUAGAGUCUUGUAGAGGGGGUAGAAUUCCAUGUGUAGCGGUGAAAUGCGUAGAGAUGUGGAGGAAUACCGGUGGCGAAGGCGGCCCCGUCGGAACAAAGGACUGACGCUCAUGUGCGAAAGCGUGGGGAGCAAACGAGGGAUUAGAU